AGGCGGAGGGUGCAGUAAUGGCAGACGUUGGUGGUGGUCGUCGGCGAGAUAAGCGACAUGUACGACAGUCGAGGGAGGCGGCGAGUCGAGCAAAAAAGGUUAGGGAAGCGCCUUCGGUGGGGUGCUCGUCUCAACUACCAAAUGAUGAUGAAGAUUUUGUUGAAGGUUCAGUUGCUUUCCUAGAAAGGAUGCGGCGUGACCCUCUAUAGGAUGCUCCAAAUAUUUAUUUAACCCCAGAGGAGCGAGCUCGAUUUCUUACUGUUAGAGUUAGGGUGCCGCCUACACUGUUGGUCCCCUAAGUUUUGAUCAAUGUUAGCUUAUUUUUGUGAUCAUUGUUGUGUUAGCAUAUUUUAUGGGUCUGUUUUUACAUACAGUUAGUUGUAUGCCCUUGAUUCGCGGUUGUGUGUCUAUUUUUUGCUCUCACAAAAUCAAUGCAUAGUUCUUUGACCUUUA